rnacentral:lncRNA from 1 species
GAGCUCUGUUCAGCCAAGACUUCCCCAAUAUUUACUCAGCACGAUAUUUCUGGAGAGCUGGCAGUGAUGCACACAGCAUUGUUCCAGGCAACGGAGGGUAAAUGAUGAUGAGUAACACCUUCAUCCUAUAAGAAUGCAUGGUCCAUUCAGAGCGAUGAGAGCCUCACACAGAAUAUCUUAAGAGCAAAUGAUUGCAGACUAAGAAGGACUCUGUCGUGAAGAGUUUAGUGAAUGGAGGAUCCCUUCUUCUACCUGGGAAUCAGGAAAGUCUUUAUGAACAAGAUGCUCUUUAAACUGGUCAUUGAGGCCAGAGAAUGUCAGCAGAGAGAUGGAUGGGUAGGGAAGGCAUUCCAGAGUUAAGAAGUGAAUGAAGAAGUGCAGAAGAAAGAACACCUUGGUUUCUACCACAUAUGGAAAUUUGUCUAAUCUGGCAGAUAUGUACAUAUAUAGAUAUUAAUGUGAGAUCAAGCAGAAAAGACAGGAAGAUCUUGUUCUAAGUUGUUGAUUCGGUUUGGGUUCUGGGACGUUCCCAUUACUGGCCACCUCUCGCUGCCCUAAUGGAGACAAGUCACUGCACAUGUGUACCGAUACAGAGGCACCAUUAUGCACCUUCCCAAGUCAGCUGAUAAAACAGGUCCUCCCCCUACCUGAAAUGUCUGCCAAAGAAGAAGAGAUGCAGAAAAGACAGAUUCCAGCCUCUUCAUGUAGUGAACAGGUAGCUCUGAUGCCUGGAGAGGGUCCUCACAAGGAAGGGAGAUGAUCUUCCUUCUUGUCAAUGAGGUUUUUAGCGGGCACCUUUGGCUUCCCUUAUUCCCCUUGAAAAAAUCAAAAGAGACUAAUGAAGAAUUCCCUCAAAGAGGUGAGACCCACAAAUUCCAAAUAAAUUACAUUUACAAAAUAUUCUAGAGCUCA